CAGCAGCCGCGGUAAUACGGAGGGCGCGAGCGUUGACCGGAUUCACUGGGCGUAAAGCGGGUGUAGGCGGUCGGGUAAGUCGGACGUGAAAGCCCGGGGCUCAACCCCGGAAGGGCGUCCGAAACUGCUCGACUUGAGUGCAGGAGAGGAGAGCGGAAUUCCACGUGUAGCGGUGAAAUGCGUAGAGAUGUGGAGGAACACCAGUGGCGAAGGCGGCUCUCUGGCCUGUAACUGACGCUGAGGCGCGAAAGCGUGGGGAGCAAACAGGAUUAGAUACCCUGGUAGUCCACGCCGUAAACGAUGAGUGCUAAGUGUUAGAGGGGUCACACCCUUUAGUGCUGUAGCUAACGCGAUAAGCACUCCGCCUGGGGAGUACGGCCGCAAGGCUGAAACUUAAAGGAAUUGGCGGG
rnacentral:rRNA from 1 species